rnacentral:rRNA from 1 species
UACGAAGGGGGCUAGCGUUGUUCGGAUUUACUGGCGUAAAGCGCACGUAGGCGGAUCGAUCAGUCAGGGGUGAAAUCCCAGAGCUCAACUCUGGAACUGCCUUUGAUACUGUCGAUCUGGAGUAUGGAAGAGGUGAGUGGAAUUCCGAGUGUAGAGGUGAAAUGCGUAGAUAUUGGGAGGAACACCAGUGGCGAAGGCGGCUCACUGGACCGGUUCUGACGCUGAGGCGCGAAAAGCGUGGGGGAGCAAACGGGG